UUUUUUUUUUCUGUUCAGCCAGCUAGAAUUAUUUUCAUAAUUUAUAGUACUGCAUCCUUAAAGACAUGUUAUUAUCACCUUUCCUACUGUGGAUAUAAUUGUUUUCUCAUACAUGUGGAAAUCUUUCUUUCGAAAUUGACUUUCUUCAUUGUCUUCGGACUUUAAAUAUACUUUCUCUGUUGUUCUGAAUUCCAAAUGGUGAAACAGUUUCAUGCUUUUUUAAGAAGUGCAUAAAUGAUAAUUAUUUUUGGAUUACAAUGAGAUGGGUUUGAUAAAAAAAAAAAAAAAAUCUUGUUUUUUGAUACUUGCUGAGGAAAAAGAAAAAUAUGGGGCAAAAAUGCUGUUUAUGAUUGUGAUGUAAUGUCAAUUAUUUUUGCUGUGUGACCAUUUUCUUUCAGUUUGUAGAACAACACGAGUUUCUUUCUGGUUUUGAGGUUUUGCUUUGUUUAAUUAAUUUCAUCUCGGUUGAUUAUGACACUUAGAUGCUAACAACCUUUUACUUUUGUUGCAGGUUCAUGAAGGGAGGAACCAUGAGAUUUGAGAACUAGUAAAAAAUGCUGGGCUUGAGAUUCAUGCAUUGAAUAUUACCCACAUUGGUGGUUUCAGACUCCCAUCAGACCUCGGUAAUUACCUCUGAUAUUUUUGCUGUUUUUUAGAACAUUUUUAAGAUUCUCUCUCAUCUUUAUUACUCAAAUCAAAAUUUUCAAAUUGCUAAAAUCAGAAGAAAGAAAAACAGAGCCUGUCUCCCUUGUUAGUUGCAGUAACUUAAGCAGACUCAAUGUAGAUACGGAGAUCAUAGAA